rnacentral:tRNA from 1 species
GGUGCUGCGCCGGAUGAACGGAUAACUUUGAUGACGUUAAAUAUGAGGGCCCCCUCCGGCACCU